AAUGAAAUUGCUGGGAUAUAUGGUAACUCUUUAGUAUUUGAGAAACUGACAGACUUUUCCAAAGUGACUGCACCAUUUUACAUUCCCACUAGCAAU
rnacentral:pre_miRNA from 1 species